GGAAAGUUGAAAAGAACUUUGAAGAGAGAGUUCAAAAGGGCGUGAAACCGCUUAGAAUAAAACGGACGGAACCGUCUGAGGCCCUUUGAGAAUCAGUCGAACGACGCGCGAACGCGUUUCGGGUUCCAGAGCGUAAAAGUCUGGCUYGAACGUCUAGUAGUCGCGUUCGUUAGGCGCAUUUCUCGAGGGUUAGCGUCGCGACCGAUGCAAAAGGCUGGCGAGGUCGUCGGGUCGAGGUCGAAACCCCUCGUGGGUAUUCGCAACCGGCCUGGUGGAGAAUUUUAAUCGCUGGACCUAGAUGAGCAUCGAGCGCUUAAACGAACUUAACGUCGGCGUAAACGCACGUCGAACGGCGGAGAGUCGGCCAAUUAGUCGACGCCUGCUUGCAGGCGCUCGAUUAAUGUAUGGUUGUCUUCAAAGUCGUCGACGACCGGCGAUUAGGCGUCCGCGACGUCCGAGUCGGUCACCCGUCCGACCCGUCUUGAAACACGGACCAAGGAGUCUAACGUACGCGCGAGCUAAUGGGUGGAAAACCUAUAAGCGCAAUAAAAGUAAAAGCCGUCUUUAGACGGUUGAGGUACGAUCCUGGUGUACGAAAAUUAUGCCAGGCGCAGUACCGUCCCGUCCCGACCGCAUGUCGGUAGGGCGGAGAUAGAGUGCAUACGUUGGGACCCGAAAGAUGGUGAACUAUGCCUGAGCAGAGCGAAGCCAGAGGAAACUCUGGUGGAGGUUCGUAGCGGUUCUGACGUGCAAAUCGAUCGUCAGACUUGGGUAUAGGGGCGAAAGACUAAUCGAACCAUCUAGUA
rnacentral:rRNA from 1 species